CUCCUGCUUUCUCUCUGAAGUGAUUCCAUGUAAGAGAUCCAGCACCUCCCAUCCUGUGUAUCUUUUUUUCUCACUGUCUGAUGGCUCUUGAGCCUGCUAUGCUGCCAUGGGAACCUGCGGGAGACAGUUCUGGCUACAUAACAGCAUAGAGUCAACUUCCCUUCAAGACAGAAGAAAAGAAGUACACGCAGUAACACGUGGAAGAAAAUUCAAGAAUAGCAGACUAAUAAUCCACCCAGCAAUGGUAAACAUGGUAUGAAGCCUCCAUAAGCAAAACAGCACAGCACUUUUUCACUAUUAAAUUGAUUGAAUUGAAGGAACAAAAGUUUUCUAAACUAUAGAAAUAGAGCCAAAUAAGCAUGGACAUUUAAUACAUAGCAAAAUACCAUAACCAAUCUAUGUGAGAAAGGUCAAUUUUAUAAUAAAUACUGUUUGAGCUAAAAGUUGGCUACCAGAAAAAGAUAAUAAUCAUAAAAGUAUCAUGUAAUAUACCUUAAAUUAUGAGUCAACUCAAGUUUUGAAUGUGGAAAGGAAAUAAAAGAACAACCAGAAAGAAACCUGAGUUAAUUUUUUUUAUAUGCCCUUGUCAUUGAUCAGGACUUGCUAUUGUGUCACAAACAACAAAAGCCACAAAUGAAAUGAUGGGUAGAUUACAUUACAUAAAAAUAAGAAAGUACAUCCAUUAAAAAAAUUUCUAGUAAAGUUAGAAGACAAAUUACCAAUGGGAAGUGUGUGUAUGUGUGCAUGUGGAUGCAUGUACACAUAUGUGCAUGUAUACCAUUUAUACUACAGAUUUAGACCAUUGAAAUAGGGAAAAUCUAUGUACUCAACAG
rnacentral:lncRNA from 1 species